rnacentral:tRNA from 1 species
GGCGAGAUAGCUCAGUUGGUAGAGCAGUAGACUGAAAAUCUAUGUGUCCGCAGUUCGAUUCUGCGUCUCGCCACCA